UAGGGAAUCUUCCGCAAUGGGCGAAAGCCUGACGGAGCAACGCCGCGUGAGAGAUGAAGGUCUUCGGAUCGUAAAACUCUGUUAUUAGGGAAGAACAAAUGUGUAAGUAACUAUGCACGUCUUGACGGUACCUAAUCAGAAAGCCACGGCUAACUACGUGCCAGCAGCCGCGGUAAUACGUAGGUGGCAAGCGUUAUCCGGAAUUAUUGGGCGUAAAGCGCGCGUAGGCGGUUUUUUAAGUCUGAUGUGAAAGCCCACGGCUCAACCAUGGAGGGUCAUUGGAAACUGGAAAACUUGAGUGCAGAAGAGGAAAGUGGAAUUCCAUGUGUAGCGGUGAAAUGCGCAGAGAUAUGGAGGAACACCAGUGGCGAAGGCGACUUUCUGGUCUGUAACUGACGCUGAUGUGCGAAAGCGUGGGGAUCAAACAGG
rnacentral:rRNA from 1 species